rnacentral:tRNA from 1 species
UCAUUGGUAGUUCAGUGGUAGAGUUCUCGCCUUCCAAGCGGGAGACUCAGGUUCAAUUCUUGGCCUAUUUA